CCUAAGGUAGCGAAAUUCCUUGUCGGGUAAGUUCCGACCUGCACGAAUGGCGUAACGAUCUCCACACUGUCUCGGCCAGAGACUCGGUGAAAUUGCAGUCGCGGUGAAAAUUCCGUGUACCCGCAGAAAGACGGAAAGACCCUGUGCACCUUUACUAUAGCUUGACAUUGGAUUUUGGGCCUGCAUGUGUAGGAUAGGUGGGAGGCUGUGAACCCUGUACGCCAGUAUGGGGGGAGCCAUCCUUGAAAUACCACCCUUGCAUGUUUAAGAUCCUAACUUCUUCCGGUUAUCCCGGAGAAAGACAGUGUCUGGCGGGUAGUUUGACUGGGGCGGUCGCCUCCUAAAGUGUAACGGAGGCAUGCAAAGGUUCCCUCAGCCUGAUCGGAAACCAGGCGCUGAGUGCAAACGCAUAAGGGAGCUUGACUGUAAGAGAGACAUCUCGAACAGGAACGAAAGUUGGCGUUAGUGAUCCGGUGGUCCCGAAUGGAAGGGCCAUCGCUCAUUGGAUAAAAGGUACGCCGGGGAUAACAGGCUGAUCGCAUCCAAGAGUUCACAUCGACGAUGCGGUUUGGCACCUCGAUGUCGGCUCAUCACAUCCUGGGGCUGAAGCAGGUCCCAAGGGUACGGCUGUUCGCCGUUUAAAGUGGUACGCGAGCUGGGUUUAAAACGUCGUGAGACAGUUUGGUCCCUAUCUUCUGUGGGCGAAGGAGAAUUGAGAGGGCCUGUCCCUAGUACGAGAGGACCGGGAUGGACGCACCCCUGGUGAUCCUGUUGUCGCGCCAGCGGCAUAGCAGGGUAGCUAUGUGCGGAAGGGAUAACCGCUGAAAGCAUCUAAGCGGGAAGCCUGCCUCAAGAUAAGUUCUCCCCUCGAAAGAGCUGAAGGGCCCGGGUAGACUACCCGGUCGAUAGGCUGGAGGUGUAAGCGCGGCGACGUGCUCAGCUGACCAGUACUAAUAGCCCGAGCGGCUUAUUUUU
rnacentral:rRNA from 2 species